rnacentral:misc_RNA from 1 species
GAUGAAGAACGCAGCGAAAUGCGAUAAGUAAUGUGAAUUGCAGAAUUCAGUGAAUCAUCGAAUCUUUGAACGCACAUUGCGCCCGCCAGUAUUCUGGCGGGCAUGCCUGUUCGAGCGUCAUUUCAACCAUCAAGCCCCCGGCUUGUGUUGGGGACCUGCGGCUGCCGCAGGCCCUGAAAAGCAGUGGCGGGCUCGCUGUCACACCGAGCGUAGUAGCAUACAUCUCGCUCUGGGCGUGCUGCGGGUUCCGGCCGUUAAACCACCUUCAUAACCCAAGGUUGACCUCGGAUCAGGUAGGAAGACCCGCUGAACUUAAGCAUAUCAAUAAGGGAGGA